GAUGAACGCUGGCGGCGUGCUUAACACAUGCAAGUCGAACGAUGAAGCCCAGCUUGCUGGGUGGAUUAGUGGCGAACGGGUGAGUAACACGUGAGUAACCUGCCCUUAACUCUGGGAUAAGCCUGGGAAACUGGGUCUAAUACCGGAUAGGAGCGUCCACCGCAUGGUGGGUGUUGGAAAGAUUUAUCGGUUUUGGAUGGACUCGCGGCCUAUCAGCUUGUUGGUGAGGUAAUGGCUCACCAAGGCGACGACGGGUAGCCGGCCUGAGAGGGUGACCGGCCACACUGGGACUGAGACACGGCCCAGACUCCUACGGGAGGCAGCAGUGGGGAAUAUUGCACAAUGGCCGCAAGCCUGAUGCAGCGACGCCGCGUGAGGGAUGACGGCCUUCGGGUUGUAAACCUCUUUCAGUAGGGAAGAAGCGAAAGUGACGGUACCUGCAGAAGAAGCACCGGCUAACUACGUG
rnacentral:rRNA from 1 species